rnacentral:rRNA from 1 species
CCUACGGGAGGCUGCAGUGAGGAAUAUUGGUCAAUGGACGAGAGUCUGAACCAGCCAAGUAGCGUGAAGGAUGACUGCCCUAUGGGUUGUAAACUUCUUUUAUAUGGGAAUAAAAUGUUCCACGUGUGGGAUUUUGUAUGUACCAUAUGAAUAAGGAUCGGCUAACUCCGUGCCAGCAGCCGCGGUAAUACGGAGGAUCCGAGCGUUAUCCGGAUUUAUUGGGGUUAAAGGGGGCGUAGGUGGAUUGUUAAGUCAGUUGUGAAAGUUUGCGGCUCAACCGUAAAAUUGCAGUUGAAACUGGCAGUCUUGAGUACAGUAGAGGUGGGCGGAAGUCGUGGUGGAGCGGUGAAAUGCUUAGAUAUCACGAAGAACUCCGAUUGCGAAGGCAGUUCACUGGACUGCAACUGACACUGAGGCUCGAAAGUGUGGGUAUCAAACAGGAUUAGAUACCCUAGUAGUC